rnacentral:lncRNA from 1 species
AAGUGCUUGAGAAAAAAUAUUUAUGUUCUAGACUUUACUCUUUAUUAGGUUUUCUUAAUACUUAAUCCCUUGAUAUCUCAUAAACUCUCUGGACUAUGCAUCAAUUUAAAAAAAAAAAUAGUUGGUUCAAUUCAAUUCUCAGGCAUAAUCGAGUGCCUAAAUGCUAAAUACUAACUUAUUCAAAGAUUUUUUUUGAUUUAUUAUUCUUUUCUCCAACUUAAUCGAUAUUGUUCUCAAUGAAGUAAGAAAAAUAAAUCGUGUAG